rnacentral:tRNA from 1 species
GGAGAGGUGGCUGAGUGGUCGAAGGCACCGCACUCGAAAUGCGGCGUGCGGGAAACUGCACCGUGGGUUCAAAUCCCACCCUCUCCG